rnacentral:rRNA from 1 species
UACGGAGGAUCCGAGCGUUAUCCGGAUUUAUUGGGUUUAAAGGGUGCGCAGGCGGAAAUGUAAGUCAGUGGUGAAAUCCUGCAGCUUAACUGUAGAAUAGCCGUUGAAACUGUGUUUCUUGAGUACAUUUGAGGUAGGCGGAAUGUGGUGUGUAGCGGUGAAAUGCAUAGAUAUACCACAGAACACCGAUUGCGAAGGCAGCUUACUAAACUGUCACUGACGCUGAUGCACGAAAGCGUGGGUAUCAAACAGGAUUA